CUUUUCUAACAAUCUCUCCUUUAUCCCAUGUUUUCUUUUUCUCUUUCCUCUCUCCUCCCCAAAUGAAUAUUAACAAAAUCUCUUGCCUCCUGGUGGAAUCAGAAUGAAUCCAUACAGACUAUACCUAUGUCAAACAUACCUAAGCAAAAUGCCACAGAGGAAAACUCAUGUUUUUAGCUCAACCCCUUUAUUGAGCUGAUUUUUUUCUAUUGCCCUGCUUUCCCUGAUAAAUAUUAUAUAUAUAUAUAUAUAUAAGCUGAAUAGACAUGGGCAAAAUUUGGUUCUUCUGGAUCAUGGAAAUUGGGCUUCGGGAUACAUGUUGGAAUCUGAGUUCCAGCAUUCUUGCAUAGUCUGGCAUCUUUAUGAGAAAUGGUCAGAAUUCCAUCCUUGAAGAAGGCUUCUAAUGGAAGAUCUCUGGAAGCAGAGGCAGUAAGCUUCUUUCGGGAAUGGGGUUAUAUGUCCAUCCUAUGCAAAGUGACUCUUGCAGCCACCACAUCAAGGGAGGCCCGUCCAAGGCUCAUGUGCUCUCCUGGCCUUCUCACGGCCAGACUGCAUGGGGAUCGUGGUCAAUCCUAAGAGAUGGAAUGGGUUUUUCAAAAGCACUUCCCCUAGAGAGAGCCCUCUACACUGGUCCAAAGGCAAUGCCAAGAGACGCAAACGGUCUGUUUCCCAUGGGAGACGAUGAUAUACCCACACGUCCCCUGCCCAGGCAUGUCGGUGGGGCCAGACCACGGCAUCUGGUUUGACAUAGAGCAGACAGGGUGAGGAACACUUUGCUUCUGUUGGAAAUGAAUGAUACUUCCUCUCCCCAGAGUACUGGGCUCUGCAAUUCACCCCAAGUGCAGCUGCUGCUGUUCUGGGUGCUUGAACUAAGUGGGAGCUGGAAGGGAUGGGGUGUCAUUCUGUCUUUAGGAAGGAAGGGCUGAGACUUCCUUAUUUUCUCCCCCCUCUCCCUGCUGACUCAAAGCUCAGGGCAUAAAUCAUUCCAUUUCUGUUUUCCCAGUGGAGAUGGUAUGCCUCAGUCUCCUUCUCUUUUGCUCUUUCUUUCCCUGGAAGCAAGGGACUCCUUUUCAGCCUGGGAGUAUAAAUGGUGGCCCUGGAAAGAAGACACUGGGCUCCCAGGGGUUCAGGGCAGGAGGAUGAAGAAGCUACACGAGAUUUGGACUUCUUAGAGCUGGUACUCCCGGAGUCUAGAAUCAGAUAGACCUCCCGCGAGGAUAUGCUAAAAGUCCCAUAGAAAACAGUGGGGAAAACAACUUCCUCUUCUGAACAAUCUUUCAGAGGACAUUCCUCCUAGAGUUUAAAACAUUACAGUCUCCAGAGCCCAGCGCCAAUUCCGUGUCAGCCCACAACCCGCUCUGGUUGCACAGCUUCACGAGUCACAAGGACUGGAUGGACAAGUGUGUGUGCCUAGUGACUGCCUUCUCCCAGCACAUGCACCAUGUCCCGGUGGCAUUGCCGGAGAUGGUCCGUGCCCUCUCAGCCCAGCAGCAGACCCUCAGGCAGAUCACCAUCUGUGGAGACCGCCAGGCCAAGGACACCAAAGUUCUGGUGCAGUGCGUCCACCCUGUCUACAUUCCUAACAUGGUGCUGAUUCUGGCUGAUGGGGACCCCUCGAGUUUCCUGUCCCACUGGCUGCCUUUCCUGAGUACCCUCCGAAGGCAGGAAGACCAGGCCACUGCGUAUGUGUGUGAGAAUCAAGCCUGCUCAAUGCUCAUCAUGGAUCCCUGUGAAUUACGAAAACUGCUACAUCCGUGACUGCCCCAACCCUCUUGGGCUGGGGCAGAAGGUAGAGCUUCCCAACUGACUAAAGACUCAGGUCCUGCAGGGCCGUGUAGAACUUGUGGCCAUCCCUGAGCACCCUGCCACCAGGAAGCUGAAAAGAAGGCCCAGGUGCUCCCUCCUUUGGAAUUGGUGGGAAAUUUAAACCCCACAAGCCUCUACCCCUGUGCAAAAGCCUUCACCCCAGCCUCAUCUCUACCCACAAUAAACGCCAAGCCAGUCUCUCUUCUCUGGAUUCUAAAGCUAUUUUUGGAUCAUUAUGUAAGCAAUAAACCUUUCCAUACUUUCUUAGUGGAUUCAUAUAUGGUAUCAUCAGUCUCAACAUCUGAACCAAAUUUUGGGUGAGAAGUUCGUCCUGCCUCUGGGAAAUCUCUUUAGAAGAGUUUGCCAAUAGACAUGUCAUCUUUGCCCAUUGCCCCUUUCCCUUCCUCUUGCUGCUGGUGGACCAAACAGCCCUCUUGUAACACAGAGUACCACGCCUGUGCCAAGGAUGACUGAGUAGAAAUGAAAAGGAACUGGGUCCCUGGUGACAUUGUGAGUUACCCUCCCACCCAUAGACUGUCUGCUUCUGGACCCUUCAGUCAGGAAGAACAAGCUGAAUGUGUGCAGCCGCUUAUAGUUGAAGAUAAUCCCAAACAUAAGGCUUAUGAUUGAAUAAUCUUUUAUGACUUCAGGAGCAGAAAUCAGUAUUUUUCCUGGGAUGUGAACAGGCAACAAACAUAAUACUUGUACCACACAUAGGAGUAAGCCAUUCUCAGUGGAGGGCCCCUGUAGCUAAGGGACACUGGAAUUUCCAGGGCUAACCUCAUUUUGGGUGAAACGUUAGGGGAAACAAGGCUGCAUAAAUUCACAGGGAGAGCCUGUUUCCAUCACUGGAAAAUGGUCUGAAAAUCAGUCUACAGUAGAUUUUAAAGAUAGUUUCAGAACAAAGCAUCUGACUUGGGAAUCCACCCAUAUGUGUCUAUCUCAUGCUGUUAAUGGGCUUAAGAAAAUGAAAGUGUCAGGAAGAAACGGCAUGUUUAUGGAGCACCAAGUCAGCCACUAGCAAAGUACUAGAUAUGCAGACAGAGGAGAAUACAGGCUUCCUCCCCUACCCCCUGGUGGAGGGUAUUUGUGCAGUAAUACUCUAAAAAGUCAUUAAGAGAAUGACAUCAGGUGCCUUCUAAUAGAAUUAGAAUUUGAUUUCAUUUGUCCAAAGCUUUUGUUAUGUUUAUAUUUUUCUAUAUGGAUACAAAUACCAGCCAGAGCAAGUGACGGUGAAGAAAAUCAUGUCAGCCAGGUACAGGAAACUGAAAGCUAGACUCACCAUCCCUGCCUCAAUAAGCCCAAUGGCAUUUCUCAUCCUGACCUGGCAGGUAAGACAGAAAACAGAGGGGUUGGGAUGCAGAGCCUCCUGGGCCUCCAUAUAAGCAUUGGGAUGAAACAAUAUAAUAUUUAUUUUUUGAAGAAAUGCAUGAAUAAAAAGUCUAUGGGCAAAAGGAAAUAAUACAAUUGUGGAACAGAAAUAUUAACACAAUCUAAACCAUUUAUCAUUAGAAAAAUGAUAUAUUCUGGAAAAAAACAUUUCUAAUUGAAGCUCAUCAAAGAUCCAAAUGUUUUAUCUUUAUAUUUCACUUAGUUGUCAGUAAAAAUUGCAAACAACUUCUAGAGUGCUUUACAGAUGAACAGAUGUUGAUAUCUUUAAGCGGUAUUUUAUAAGUAACUUUAAGUACUCAGUAUCUUAGUAAUUUUGCUAGUCCACAUUUCAAAGACAAAAUUUGAAACAUUCAUAUUAUUGAUAGAGUAAAUGUGCAAUCAAAACAAAGAAAAAAACAGGAGGACAAAUUAUACUCACUGAGCUCUUGCUGUGGCACUCCCUAUGGUAGCAAUCGAGGGUAUCUACACUUGAUUUUCAAGGAAUAAUAAAUAAGCUCAAAUUCCAGCUCAACUUUUUUUGUUUGUUUUUUUGCUUGAGAUGAAGUCUUGCUCUGUUGCCUGGGCUGGAGUGCAGUGGCACGA
rnacentral:lncRNA from 1 species